UACAGAGGUCCCAAGCGUUGUUCGGAUUCAUUGGGCGUAAAGGGUGCGUAGGCGGCGCGGUAAGUCGGGUGUGAAAUCUCGGAGCUUAACUCCGAAACUGCAUUCGAUACUGCUGUGCUUGAGGACUGGAGAGGAGACUGGAAUUUACGGUGUAGCGGUGAAAUGCGUAGAUAUCGUAAGGAAGACCAGUGGCGAAGGCGGCUUUCUGGUCUGCUCUUGACGCUGAGGCGCGAAAGCUAGGGUAGCAAACGGG
rnacentral:rRNA from 1 species